GCGCUCACACCAAGGGCAUGUUUCUUUAUUUGAAUUUGAGUUGCAUUUAAUUUCAGUUUUGUUUCUUUUAUCAAGAUGGAGAAAAGUAAACCACCACUGAAAAGUGGGAGGAGAUGGUCUGCUGGAAAGCACUUCAGAAACAGAACGGCUAUACAGGGGUCACCUCCCCUGCUAAAGGACUCCCACCAGGGGUGUUGCCAGAGAUUUCCUUAACACCCAGCACUCUGGAUCUGCUGGAGGCUGCCUCACACUCUGCCAAAAGGGGAACAACAGAUGCCUCUCUAACGGGGAAAAUGCAGAUUAAAUAAAAAGAUUAAAUAAUUAAUUGCA